rnacentral:rRNA from 1 species
UACGUAGGGUGCGAGCGUUGUCCGGAUUAUUGGGCGUAAAGAGCUCGUAGGCGGUUUGUCGCGUCGGCCGUGAAAUCUCCACGCUUAACGUGGAGCGUGCGGUCGAUACGGGCAGACUUGAGUUCGGUAGGGGAGACUGGAAUUCCUGGUGUAGCGGUGAAAUGCGCAGAUAUCAGGAGGAACACCGGUGGCGAAGGCGGGUCUCUGGGCCGAUACUGACGCUGAGGAGCGAAAGCGUGGGGAGCGAACAGG